UGACUUGUUGAGUUUGACUUGUGUUGUUGGGCCUUGGUCAAGGUUGAUUUGACUUUGUUGAGUUAAGAUCAUUGGAUUUAGGGGAUUGAUGAAAUGUACAUUUCAUCUCCCAAAAUGAAUGAAUGAUCAUUGGUCAAGGUUGAUUUGACUUUGUUGAGUUAAGAUCAUUGGAUUUAGGGGAUUGAUGAAAUGUACAUUUCAUCUCCCAAAAUGAAUGAAUGAUCUUAAUUUGGUAAAAGUCCUCCUUUGACCAAUU
rnacentral:lncRNA from 1 species